rnacentral:misc_RNA from 1 species
UUUCCGUAGGUGAACCUGAGGAAGGAUCAUUAACGAAGAUUGAUUGUGUGUGGGGGAGGAGAGUUGGAGAGUUGGGGGAUGACUAUCUAUUGAUUGAUUGUCUGUCUCGAUUAUCCACUCUCCCACCCACACCAUUAUUCACCCCGAGUAGUCGUUGCCGACUGCGGGACGUUUUGAGCGAUCAAAACAACAAAUUAUAUAGACGCAUGGAUGUUUGACAGUAUUUAUGAGUAAAAUGAUAAACAACUUUUAACAAUGGAUCUCUUGGCUCUU